AUUGAACGCUGGCGGCAGGCCUAACACAUGCAAGUCGAGCGGAUGAAGAGAGCUUGCUCUCUGAUUUAGCGGCGGACGGGUGAGUAAUGCCUAGGAAUCUGCCUGGUAGUGGGGGAUAACGUCCGGAAACGGGCGCUAAUACCGCAUACGUGCUACGGGAGAAAGCAGGGGACCUUCGGGCCUUGCGCGAUCAGAUGAGCCUGGGUCGGAUUAGCUAGUUGGUGAGGUAAUGGCUCACCAAGGCGACGAUCCGUAACUGGUCUGAGAGGAUGAUCAGUCACACUGGAACUGAGACACGGUCCAGACUCCUACGGGAGGCAGCAGUGGGGAAUAUUGGACAAUGGGCGAAAGCCUGAUCCAGCCAUGCCGCGUGUGUGAAGAAGGUCUUCGGAUUGUAAAGCACUUUAAGUUGGGAGGAAGGGCAGUAAGUUAAUACCUUGCUGUUUUGACGUUACCGACAGAAUAAGCACCGGCUAACUUCGUGCCAGCAGCCGCGGUAAUAC
rnacentral:rRNA from 1 species